UCUUGUUUGUUAUGAUUAAAUAAUGAUUAUUAUAUAUCUCUGGCUUCGGAGCUUCUUCUUCCAAGCACCAGGCAGCUCGAGAUUCUCUGAACUUUUACAAUUUGGUGAUUCCCGACGUGGAGUCUCUGAGUGAGCCUUGUGUUUUGAGGAGUGGCUCGAGGCUACAGUGUAGCAUGAUUUAGAGAAGGCUGAACUUUGUUUCGGGCCUCUUAUAUACUUGUGCGUUUUGAGUUCCAACAGAACUGAAGUCUGAUAUGCCUGUAGGAGCUAAGAUGUUAGCGGUCUGCAGUGGGAAACGGUUGGAAGUUCGCUGAGUUAUACCGACGGGUGCUCUGUUGUGUCUAUAUACUUAUUCUCAGGUUCUGUUUGAAUGCACGGAUAAAUUAUGGUCUGGAAAAGACGACGCAUGAAUUACUAGGCAAGGAAUUCAUGGCUAGAAACCGAAAUUUAAAUUGCUUAUGACGACGCCUGCGGUUGAGGGCCCAAAGCUCCGGACUAGACAACGAAAUUUGCGGACAAUUAAAUAUUGGAUAACCAGUUGAUAUAACACAGUAAGAGCCAGAUGGAGUCGCUGAACUGCCAUUCUGUAUUACUGCAAACGCGUUGUAAAUAGAAGUACAGUGUGCUAAUGUCUUGUAAAUACUACGUUAAAAGUGUUUGUUAAAAUAGAGGAAAAAUGAGUUUUCAGACAAAGGGUGCUGCAGCCAUUAAAACUCACUCAUUUGAAUAGGGGAAGAGAGUGCUGAAUAGCCACCAGGUGUGUACAAUGUUUUAACUUUUUUGAUGCCGCUAGCUCCGUGCUAACAUCCGCUAGCACAUCCACUUGUAACGUUUAUUCUGUACGUUUUCACCGUCGAAAUGCUGCAAGACCCGACUUGCAGCAUUAUCGCGACUUUAAACAUUGUGUGUUUGGGCUGCUCUUGUGAAACAUGCAUAAGAAAUACAAGAAAAUCGAUAGUUUCUUUGCAAAGAUGAGGAUUUAUUGAAUGCUGGGAAACCAAACAUGGCCAUAUGUGUCAAUGUUUCCAUAGAAACAGUUAUUUGCAGUUGAUUCUGCGACAAAAAAAAGUUAGAUGUAGCUCCUCCCCCACACCUCACAGCUGACGUCAGUUUCCAUAGUAACAAUUAUUUGAGUCUUUGUUUUCUUGAUCAGUUCAUUCUGCGACAAAAAAAGAAAAUUAGCUCCUCCCCCACACGGCAGAAAAUUGACGUCACCGUUACCGUAGUAGCAGUUAUUCGACUCUUUGAUCUCACUCAGUGACAUCACGGAGUGCAGAGCCAGAGCUAGCUCCAUGUAGCUCCUCCCCCACACCUCACAGAUGACGUCAGUUCCCCCACACGGCAGAAAAUUGACGUCACCGUUACCGUAGUAGCAGUUAUUAGACUCUUUGAUCUCACUCAGUGACAUCACGGAGCGCAGAGCCAGAGGUAUAAAUAGAAGUGUUUUCCACUAGGCUGGUUGAGGAGGCACCAGUCUCUGCUCUCUGUUCCACCAGGUUUGGUGGAUGAGGCACCAGUCUCUGCUCCACCCAGAACCUCUCUACUGCUGCAGUAGAGAGGUUCUGGGUGGAGCAGAGGUGCACGUGCUUCUCCCCCUGUGACCGCGGGAGUUCGCUCCGCUGGACACAGUUACUGUGUACGCGAAAAAAUGAGCAGAGGUGCACGUGCCUGUUCUCCAGGCCCGCGGGAGUGCGCUCCGCUGGGCCGAACCUAGGUAUGCGGGUAUUAUAUUUUAUUAUAUUUUACCUCAGGGAGUAUGACGCCCCUGCCUUGCAGAGGUCAAAACCACUGCCUUGCAGUACAUAUUCUUGAUAGCAUAAAAGGCUAAGGGAGCAAACCCUAACAGAAAACCAUGCACUGGGUAUUGUGUUGCCAGGAGCAGUGACUUCCUGAAGUCUCUAUGGUUGUCUGGCAACUGGUGCCAUCUAAGAACAAAUAGGGAACAUAAACACAAGCAAAAAGUAAAUGAUCAUUUUUACACUUUAGUUUAUGGAUUAAACAAAAGACAGCUGGCAGCAUCCCGUUGCAGAUUUUGAAACCUCUGAGCCUCUAGAGCACAGGUAUUCAACUAUAGCAGUCGACUCCGGGGCGGAUCCGCCCUCAGGUCGGCAGAUCCGCCCUACGUCUGCGGAUUAACUGCGGACAACAGGCGGAUGCCUCUCACUGUAACUGUAUAGCAGAGUAUUGCUGGUGUAUUUAUAUUGCACAGGUAUAUUGCACAUGUCUGUGCAAUAUAUAACUAUAUAUAUAAAAGAAUAUAUACAACAAAAAACAAAUAUAAAUAUAUAUAUAAUGCAAUGCAUUCGCGGUGUGUCAAAAAUAAGCAAGCAAACUAUUUUAUUUUUUAUUUAAAUAUAUAUUUAUAAAAAAUAAUGAAAAAUAGCCUCUUCCCAUAUGCUGUGUUCUCGAACAUUCUAGGGGGAAAGCUAGAUGACAACUCAAACAACCAAUCAUGAUCAUGAAGUAUGUGCCCGUCCCGCCUACUUACAACUCAAACGACUAAUCGCGUUAAUGAAGUAUCCAACGUCUUUAAAGUGCUGCAAAUUCAUAAGGAAAACGUUUGUGACGUUGUCAUGAGGUCAAUAUAAGGGCCACUCAUGUAAAUAUAUGACAACGUUAAUGUGGUAAGGUGUAUCAUAAAUGAUACAUGGUCAUAAGUGUAUGAAUACCCAAACAUUACACCCAUAUGUCAUUUGUUUACCAUCUGUUCAUAAAGUGUCUCAUAUUUGGCAUACAUCACAGCUUAAUAAGGUUGAUAACAACAAUGGAUAAUGUAUUUAAAAAAAACUAAACUCUUUGUAUAAAAUUAUAUUUGUUCCCCUUGAGCGUGCACAUAUAUAUUGUGAUGUGAUUAUGUCUUUCCCUUAUUAAACUUAAGUGACCUAAGCUGUUUGACAUCUCUGUGUUCUUGGCUGGUUGAAUUCUUAAUGCUUUGCUUUUCUUGUGGCCUCUUUUGCGUUAUUGUCCACAUUUGGUAUGUUUACCUCAUGACAACUCACAAACAUUUUCCUCAUGAAUUUGCAGCACUUUGAAGACGUUUUGAAUUUAAACAGCCGACUAUUUGUUUGAGAAAUCAGCAAUAUUGUAACAUCCACAUUCUCCAUGGUAGUCAGCAGUGUGGUCGCAUGUUGAUCUGGUUGCCCUCUGCCUUUCGUUGCGACUGCUAGAGAUGAUCUUGGCCUAGUGGUAAGAUCCCCGACUUUCAGCUGUUUUACCACCCAAUGAUACGAGUUUGAAUCCCGUAAAUGUAACUUUUGUUCUAUCUUUUUAUUUUGUUGGUACUGUACUACAGAAUUCUUUUAUGUGACACGUUUGCACAAAACAAGCUUCAAAGUCGAUUAUGUGUUAUUUGUAACAAUUUUAUUUCAAAGGAAGAGCAAGGUGGUAACUUCCUGUUUCAACACAUACAGAGCAAGCGACGUUUCAACUCGAGUGGACUUUCUCUCAAAAGACUCGACAACGAUUUUUACGGACGUAACACACCAACGGACCCCCGCCGCAUUUUAGAUGCUGACAAAGAAUCAGGUCACGUGCGGCCACAGACGACGAGAUCCUGAAACAUGCCAUUAGCACCGAAAUCCUGGUCCACUCAUUUGUCACAUCCCGCAUCGACUAUUGCAAUGCCCUCCUCACCGGACUCCCCACCAAACUCAUCAACAGACUGCAAAUCAUUCAGAACUCGGCCACCCGGAUCAUCACCUGUACCAAAUCAUCGGACCACAUCACUCCUGUACUCAUCCAACUUCACUGGCUCCCUGUACAAUACCGCAUCGACUACAAAAACCUUCUCCUCACCUAUAAAGCUCUCCACAAUCUAGCCCAUACUUACCUCUACGACCUCCUCCAGGAACCCUCCCACACCCUCCGCUCAUCCUCUUCUGGACUGCUAACCAUCCCCACGUCACGCCUCAGUACCAUGGGUGCCCGAGCCUUCAGCUGCUCAGCACCCAGGCUCUGGAACUCCCUCCCCCCACACAUAAGACAAUCAGACUCCAUCACAUCAUUCAAGUCUCAACUCAAAACUCACCUGU